CAGGGAGCUUGCUGCUGACCAAAAGCCACCUGAGUGAACUGGCACCAGUGCAGCUCAACAGUGGGAACACUAGUGGAGACAGGCUGCCAACAUUUUAACGACAGUGUCAACAGCAUCCAGUGGGAUCCAUGUCCAGAACUGGCGUACGUAGUGGCUGGAAGUUUCCUGAUAACUGGCGGAGAUGGGAAAGCUGUAAUGUACCCAACCUGGACAAUGAUCCCUCCAUAGCCAUUUGGUUCUGGUUAUAAACUGUUCAUGGUAGAGUGGAGCUUCUGAUGUCCCUCAUGCAUCUAUUUAGUGAAGUACAUCUCAGGGGCAGACCAAAUGAGGCUGUUUGUCUUUCUGUUUACUGUAUUUGCAAGCAAUGCUUUCUCUUUAUCUUAACAGAAGAUAAGUUUAAAUGUUUGUCCCAGUCUUUAGUCACCAUAGCAAAGGAAGAGAAAACAUAUGUACAGGAAACACAGAAAGCAAUAGUAGAGAUAAAAAGAGUAAAUUAACAUUACCCUCAUUGUAGGAAACUUGUUAGAGGACAGAGAAACUUGUGUUCCAACUAACCUGGAUCUUCCGUGAUUACUCAGUUCUCAGUUUCUCUAACCUGCACCUCACUGGAGCCCUAUGGAAAAAUAGGGACACACAACUUGAUAGUUUCUCGUUAACUUCAUGUCUGAACUGAAGGCAAAACCCAAACUAUUCUGGCUAACCUCUAGCCAAUGAUCCAUUUCAUCAACUCAGUCUCGCAUUCUAGAACCUCCUCAUUCACACAGGCAAGACUCCUGGGACUUAUCUCAGCAUCUCCUGCCAUCAACUCCAGAAUGUCUUGGGGACCAGCGUUCACACAGAAAGGGCCAGUUAAAAAGCCACGCUUUAGAUGACAGUCCAACAUCUCUUUGGGAUCCAAUGUGUGAAGAGAAGACUGUCAGGUCUGUCAAACUAUUCUGGCCUUCACUUGUUAAAGAGGAUUUAACGAGGAGGAUUUUACUGAUCUAUUGUGAAGGUUGCUGGAGGCUGGAUGCCUUACUUUAAAAGGUAAAGGCAGCAACAUUCCAUCAGGAA